UUUGUCCGGACUCUAAUUCAAAUUGUAUUCAUCCGAUCUUCACCAAACUUGGUCAGCAGUUGCAUCUAGUUGAUAUCUAGGCCAAGUUCGAAUAUGGGUCAUGCCGGGUCAAAAACUAGGUCAUAGGGUCAAUUAGUGCAUUUUCAACGGCGCCACUUUGUCCGGACUCUAAUUCAAAUUGUAUUCAUCCGAUCUUCACCAAACUUGGUCAGUAGUUGCAUCUAGUUGAUAUCUAGGUCAAGUCCGAAUAUGGGUCAUGCUGGGUCAAAAACUAGGUCAAAGGGUCAAUUAGUGCAUUUUACUUUGUCCGGACUCUAAUUCAAAUUGUAUAAAUCUUAUCUUCACCAAACUUGGUCAGUAGUUGCAUCUAGUUGAUAUCUAGGCCAAGUUCGAAUAUGGGUCAUGCCAGGUAAAAAACUAGGUCAUAGGGUCAAUUAGUCCAUUUUCAACAGCGCCACUUUGUCCGGACUCUUAUUCAAAUUGUAUUCAUCCGAUCUUUACCAAACUUGGUCAGUAGUUGCAUCUAGUUGAUAUCUAGGUCAAGUUCGAAUAUGGGUCAUGUCGGGUCAAGAACUAGGUCAUAGGGUCAAUUAGUGCAUUUUCAACGGCGCCACUUUGUCCGGACUCUAAUUCAAAUUGUAUUCAUCCGAAACUUUUAAACAACUUUUUAUCCUGCGUCAAAGUGGUAUGGGGGUAUAAGUCACAUUCAGUGACAAAGCUCUAGUUCAAGUUGAAUUCACCAAACUUGGUCAGAGGUAGUAUAUAGAUUAUAUAUCAGUCAGGUCUGAUUGGAGACAUGCAACCGAUUAACACAUGCAAUAUUUUUAUGCAAUAUUUUUAUCCAGUUUUAUUUUGCGAUAUUUUCAUCGGGUUUAUUUUUUUCGCGAUUUUUGAAACGAGUUAUUUUUAACAACAUGUUUAUUGGUAAGUUUCAUU